AAAAUUGCCCCUUGCUUGCCAUCGCGCAGCC
rnacentral:sRNA from 1 species